AGCCAGAGCCAUAACUCCCUGCAGCUCUCGCCUGGUUUCCACUGAAGUUAAGCAGGGUUGAGCCUGGCCAGUACCUGGAUAGAAGACCUCCUGGGGGGAAAACUAAGGUUGCUGCUG
rnacentral:rRNA from 1 species